UAUUAUCCUGUUGGUGGGAACACUCGCAGGAAUGGCAGCCGUCUUCAGCACUUACGCAAGGCGUCAUUCGCACCAUGCCAUCACGGAGAUGGACUCUGAUACCGAAGGCAGUGGUCAGCAGCCGUGGAUGUUUGGCCCGUUGGUGAAUGGCGACCCUGUCAAGAGGUUGUCGUGCUUCGACCCAUCGUGCAUCAGUCAAUUUAUACAGUUGUCUCGGUCACUCGAUUCAACCGUGAACCCUUGCCAGAACUUCUACGGUCACGUGUGCUCCGCACGACAAGCAAAUGGCACAGUGGACGAGCAAAUGACAAAACAGACCGAAUCCCGUGUCGUGGGCUUCUUCAAGGGUAUCGGCAGCCCCGACAGGGAUUUGCCUGUGGCGUCAGCGUCGAGGCGUCUCUGGAAAGACUGCGUCGACCUGACCACGCUGAACAAGUUAGGCAGGGCGCCCUUGCAAGCACUGCUCAACCUAACUGGCUUGAGCAGCUGGCCGUACGCGUACGCCACGCAGUCUGGACAAGUCUGGAGGUCGGCCGGAAGGCUGCAACGGCUCAUGGGGCUAGCGCCGCUCGUCGGUCUUGUCGCACUGCCCGACGGCGCUAUACAGCUGAUCCCAGGCGACCAGGGAAGUCUGGAAGCUGACGAUGUGCUCGACUCGAUGCUGGCAAUGCGACGCAACAACUCGCGUCUGCGCGAUUUGGCAGCAGACGUGGCCGACCUGGGACGUCGGCUGAGCGGCUUGCGCGAGCGCAACGCGCCACCCGACAGCGUCGACGUGCAACCGCCGCAGCUCUUUCUGGACGCGGCGCUGGAAGGGUUGCAAAGGCCCGGCGCAGUGCACGUAGCUGAGGCGGGAUUGCUGAGGCAAUACGUGCUUCUCGUGAACAAGAGCAGCUCCCGUUCAGGUGCUCAACCUGCUAGGCUACCGGCUUAUCCAGCACGUUGACCUCUUCACGCCAGCUGUUAUUAAGAGUGACCUCAACUCGGGAGCGUCAGCAAGAAGGGAGUCCGCGUGCGCGCGCCUCUGUUCUCGAACAUGCACUAACGGCCGACGCAGCUGAGUACGUGCGCUACGCAUCGCUGCGAAGCCAUCUUGACUUCGACUUUGUGCGGUCUACCGCGGCACAGCUGAAGCGCGUGGUGGUCGCAAAGCUGUCGGAGCUGCGUUGGAUGGACGGAGGUACGCGCAAAAGCGCCCAGACACGCCUGCGGGAGCUCAAGGUGCGUGCCG
rnacentral:misc_RNA from 1 species